rnacentral:lncRNA from 1 species
ACUCUGAACUCUUCUAAUAUGUAUCCUUUUGUUUCAAUUUGGUUCUCUCUCUAUAUAUAUAUCACAUUUUGAACUAGGGGUCUAAUUUUUGUUAACUUCAGUUAUUGUCAUACUUGUAUGAUUAGUAGUGUUGUGGUAGAAAUUUGGGGGCGAGCAACCAAUAGUCAAAAUUGCUCUUAAAGCUCCGGUACUGCUCUAGGCGAUCUGCGCAAGGGAACAAACGUAACCGGCCGGAGUGAAGCCGCUCAAAACUCCUCCGGCGUGGAGAUCAAACCAAGACGAAUAUAAGCUCGGCUAAAGAAAGUACCAGAGCUCUUAGAACAGAAUUGCAAGGGGCUGGUCAAGUAAUUGCAUAAGCGUACCUUUUCCUGGUAGAGAGAGCGGCCUUUUUAUAGUUGAAGAAUGGAGAAUCGUUUGAGGAUAUCACACCGAGAUCCUUGGGUAGAUAAGUAGGGAAGGAGAUCCCAUGGAUAUCGGAGAUAAAAUAGG